CAGAGGCGAUGAAGGACGUGCUAAUCUGCGAUAAGCGCCGGUAAGGUGAUAUGAACCGUUAUAACCGGCGAUUUCCGAAUGGGGAAACCCAGUGUGACUCGUCACACUAUCAUUAACUGAAUCCAUAGGUUAAUGAGGCGAACCGGGGGAACUGAAACAUCUAAGUACCCCGAGGAAAAGAAAUCAACCGAGAUUCCCCCAGUAGCGGCGAGCGAACGGGGAGGAGCCCAGAGCCUGAAUCAGCAUGUGUGUUAGUGGAAGCGUCUGGAAAGGCGCGCGAUACAGGGUGACAGCCCCGUACACAAAAGCGCAUGUGCUGUGAGCUCGAUGAGUAGGGCGGGACACGUGGUAUCCUGUCUGAAUAUGGGGGGACCAUCCUCCAAGGCUAAAUACUCCUGACUGACCGAUAGUGAACCAGUACCGUGAGGGAAAGGCGAAAAGA
rnacentral:rRNA from 1 species